UACGUAGGGUGCAAGCGUUAAUCGGAAUUACUGGGCGUAAAGCGUGCGCAGGCGGCUUUGCAAGACAGAUGUGAAAUCCCCGGGCUUAACCUGGGAACUGCAUUUGUGACUGCAUGGCUGGAGUGCGGCAGAGGGGGAUGGGAAUUCCGCGUGUAGCAGUGAAAUGCGUAGAUAUGCGGAGGAACACCGAUGGCGAAGGCAAUCCCCGUGGGCCUGCACUGGACGCUCAUGCACGAAAGCGUGGGGAGC
rnacentral:rRNA from 1 species